CCUACGGGAGGCAGCAGUGGGGAAUAUUGCACAAUGGGCGCAAGCCUGAUGCAGCGACGCCGCGUGAGGGAUGACGGCCUUCGGGUUGUAAACCUCUUUCAGUAGGGAAGAAGCGAAAGUGACGGUACCUGCAGAAGAAGCGCCGGCUAACUACGUGCCAGCAGCCGCGGUAAUACGUAGGGCGCAAGCGUUAUCCGGAAUUAUUGGGCGUAAAGAGCUCGUAGGCGGUUUGUCGCGUCUGCUGUGAAAGACCGGGGCUCAACUCCGGUUCUGCAGUGGGUACGGGCAGACUAGAGUGCAGUAGGGGAGACUGGAAUUCCUGGUGUAGCGGUGAAAUGCGCAGAUAUCAGGAGGAACACCGAUGGCGAAGGCAGGUCUCUGGGCUGUAACUGACGCUGAGGAGCGAAAGCAUGGGGAGCGAACAGGAUUAGAUACCCUGGUAGUCCAUGCCGUAAACGUUAGGGCACUAGGUGUGGGGGACGAUUCCACGUUUUCCGUCGCCGUAGCUAACGCAUUAAGUGCCCGCCUGGGGAGUACGGCCGCAAGGCGUAAAACUUCAAAGGAAUUGACGG
rnacentral:rRNA from 1 species